rnacentral:rRNA from 1 species
GAUGAACGCUAGCGGCAGGCCUAAUACAUGCAAGUCGAGGGGUAGUGGUUGCUUGCAGCCAUGAGACCGGCGCACGGGUGCGUAACGCGUAUGCAACCUACCUUCAUCUGGGGGAUAGCCCGGAGAAAUCCGGAUUAAUACCGCAUAAAAUCACAGUACGGCAUCGUACAAUGAUCAAACAUUUAUGGGAUGGAGAUGGGCAUGCGUGUCAUUAGUUAGUUGGCGGGGUAACGGCCCACCAAGACCGCGAUGACUAGGGGAUCUGAGAGGAUGACCCCCCACACUGGUACGGAGACACGGACCAGACUCCUACGGGAGGCAGCAGUAAGGAAUAUUGGUCAAUGAGCGCAAGCCUGAACCAGCCAUGCCGCGUGCAGGAAGACGGCCCUCUGGGUUGUAAACUGCUUUUAUUCGGGAAUAAACCUGCUUACGUGUAAGUAGCUGAAUGUACCGAAGGAAUAAGGAUCGGCUAACUCCGUGCCAGCAGCCGCCGUAAUAC